rnacentral:rRNA from 1 species
CCUACGGGUGGCAGCAGUGGGGAAUAUUGCACAAUGGGGGGAACCUUGAUGCAGCAACGCCGCGUGGGGGAAGAAGUACUCCGGUAUGUAAAGCCCUGUCAGCAGGGAAGAACAGGACGGUACCUGACCAAGAAGCCCCGGCUAACUACGGGCCAGCAGCCGCGGUAAUACGUAGGGGGCAAGCGUUAGCCGGAUUGACGGGGUGUAGAGGUAGCGUAGACGGCAAGGCAAGUCUGGAGUGAAAGCCCGUGGCCCAACCACGGGACUGCUUUGGAAAGUGUGUUGCUGUAGUGCAGGAGGGGUAAGCGGAAUGCCUAGUGUAGCGGUGAAAUGCGUAGAUAUUAGGAGGAACACCGGUGGCGAAGGCGGCUUACUGGACUGUAACUGACGUUGAGGCUCGAAGGCGUGGGGAGCAAACAGGAUUAGAUACCCUAGUAGUC